CCGAUCGCGGCAUUUGCAGGUUCGCUGCUGACCACCACCAUUCUCUACAAGAUCGCCAGCCGCGAGGGCCGCACGUCGGUUGCGAUCUUCCUGCUCGCAGGUCUUGCCAUCGCGGCCAUCGCCAAUGCCGGCAUCGGGCUUCUGGUGUUCGUCGCCGAUGACCGCCAGUUGCGCGACAUCACCUUCUGGCUGCUUGGUUCGUUGAGUGGCGCGACCUG
rnacentral:misc_RNA from 1 species